UUGUUGUGUUAUGAUGUGUUGAUAGACUGGUCUUCCCUCUGUUUAUUCAGCUACAGCUGUAUAUUGUAGGGAUAGAAUUGAAUAAAUCCUGAUCUGCAAUCCAUAAACCACCACCAAAGAAUUGGAUUAUCACUCGAACAAACACCAAAAAACUGGAUUUACACGCCAAAGACCACCACCAAACAACUGAAUCUGCACGCCAAAGACCACACCAAACAACCAAAUCUACACUCCAAAUUGUUCUUUGAAGGAUCCAGGAUCUGUCAAUACAAUAACGCUCCUACUUAAUUCUAAUUUCUAAACUAAGAAAGCGCUGGAUGGCGAUUUUAACAGAUAAUUUUACUCUUUAAAGGGGCCUCACACACUCAAUUUUCUCAAGUACUUAGUCGGAAUUCUAGAUCUCAGUAUCAAGUAUCGCGCGAUAGAUCUUACCUCUGUACUUACGUAAAAGGGGCCUGGCGGAACGAUAAACUUCGAAAUAAUUUAACGAAACCAUCAAUAUUCAAUAAUUUCACGGGAUUAAUUUAUUCUACGAUCUAGAUGUGUGCCUAAUAUAACUACAGAGAGCAAAAUUAAUUGAAUACGAGCAGGAAUUCCUGAUCGAUGGGUGGGAUAUAGAUAACCGGGUUACAAUCCCGAUUAACCUUAAGGGUCGACAAUUUUCUUUAAUUAAUUUACAAUUUAUAUAAAAAUUCCUAAUAUUUUUCCUCAUGUUCGAUUAUAAGAAGGACCACUAAUAUCGGGGUGACGCACAUACAUCAUCAGACAAGACCGCUCCUGUAAUACUCACCUUCACAGAGAAUGAAGACUACUACUGUAUUGUGUAUAUCUGUACUCGUUGUACUCCUGUUGAGUACAAACGAAAACGGAGUAGAAGCUUCCAGAAAGAAGUUAUUGAAGCUCUUGUUGACUAAAUCCUUAGCCAAAAAGAAAUUCAUCAUCAUUCCCAUUCCAAUUAUUUCGCUCAAAGCGGAUCCACCCAUGAUGCCGAGCAUGAUGCCAAGUAUGAUGUUUCCCCCAUCCAUGAUGGGUCCUCCGAUGAUGGGCAUGGAUUGAUUAUGUUGAAUAUUAAUCGAGCGUAACAGGAUUAUAGUUACUCAUGUAAUCGAAUGUAUAUAGUUUAUAUUAAUUCCAGUAACUGUAUAGUAGAUGAGUGAUAAUAAAAAUAUAACCAAAGUUUAUUAAACAACAUCGCUGUCAAUCUUCUUUAUAACUGCGCGCGUUGCAACAAGAUCGGUGAACAGUUCUAUGAAAAUAUUGUAUAAACAUUAUACUGGAUUGAUGGAAUAAAGCAAAGCAACACUUGAGCAAUCUUCCUCCCAAGAGAACUUUCUAUGGGAAACUGGUCCACACAUGAACUUGGAAAAUUCAAUGCAGCCAGUCUGUUGGCAAGGUGUGAACCCAUUAUCAAUGUUUAGUGGUUUUAUCCACUUAGCCAAGUGUUGUGUUGCAUUAUUCCAAUACCCAUGGUAGUAGGCAUUGCAAUAAUGCAACACAACACGAUGGGGUGCUUCUGGAAGAACUACAUGUCUGACAAAAAGGUCCUCUCAGUGACCAAAAAUACAAAAAAGAAAUUAGGAAUAGCUCUUUCAAAUAAAAUAACCCUGAUGUCCCUUAAGGUCAGGCACAUUAACAAAAUAAAACAGCACUUGACUUACUAUGCACAUGUACUAUUGCUUCUCAAACAUUUUAACUGGUUAUUUUUCUAA
rnacentral:lncRNA from 1 species